rnacentral:rRNA from 1 species
CUGGCCCUACGGGGCGCAGCAGUGAGGGAUAUUGGUCAAUGGGGGAAACCCUGAACCAGCAACGCCGCGUGAGGGAAGACGGUUUUCGGAUUGUAAACCUCUGUCCUCUGUGAAGAUAAUGACGGUAGCAGAGGAGGAAGCUCCGGCUAACUACGUGCCAGCAGCCGCGGUAAUACGUAGGGAGCAAGCGUUGUCCGGAUUUACUGGGUGUAAAGGGUGCGUAGGCGGCCCU